rfam:Asian citrus Psyllid, Diaphorina citri - Florida Strain, whole genome shotgun sequence.
GCCUCGGUGGUGUAGUGGUCAAGGCACUCGACUGGUAAAUAGGAGGGUGUGGGUUCAAUCCCAGCCGAGGUA